AUAAUCGUUACGGGGAGCUGGCGUAAAAAGCUGGCUGAGAGGAGAAUGCAUUUCUCGACCCAUAACCUGAUUUGGGUAAUGCCAACGUAGGGACAACAAAGCGAGUAAUC
rnacentral:ncRNA from 2 species